rnacentral:rRNA from 1 species
UACGUAGGGUGCAAGCGUUUGUCCGGAAUUAUUGGGCGUAAAGGGCUCGUAGGCGGUCCAUCACGUCGGGAGUGAAAAGCUGGGGCUUAACCCCAGUCCUGCUUCCGAUACGGGUGGACUAGAGGUAGGCAGGGGAGAACGGAAUUCCUGGUGUAGCGGUGAAAUGCGCAGAUAUCAGGAGGAACACCGGUGGCGAAGGCGGGUCUCUGGGCAGUAACUGACGCUGAGGAGCGAAAGCGUGGGGAGCGAACAGG